rnacentral:rRNA from 1 species
GACGUAGGGCGCGAGCGUUGUCCGGAUUUAUUGGGCGUAAAGAGCUCGCAGGCGGCUUGUCGCGUCGUCCGUGAAAACUUGGGGCUCAACCCCAAGCUUGCGGUCGAUACGGGCAGGCUCGAGUUCGGUAGGGGAGACUGGAAUUCCUGGUGUAGCGGUGAAGUGCGCAGAUAUCAGGAGGAACACCGGUGGCGAAGGCGGGUCUCUGGGCCGAUACUGACGCUGAGGAGCGAAAGCGUGGGGAGCGAACAGG